AUACGGAGGGUGCAAGCGUUAAUCGGAAUUACUGGGCGUAAAGCGCGCGUAGGCGGUUUGUUAAGCGAGAUGUGAAAGCCCCGGGCUCAACCUGGGAACUGCAUUUCGAACUGGCAGGCUAGAGUGUAGAAGAGGGGUGUGGAAUUUCCGGUGUAGCGGUGAAAUGCGUAGAGAUCGGAAGGAACAUCAGUGGCGAAGGCGACACCCUGGUCUAACACUGACGCUGAGGUGCGAAAGCGUGGGUAGCAAACAGGAUUAGAAACCCCAGUAGUCC
rnacentral:rRNA from 1 species